UACGUAGGGGGCGAGCGUUGUCCGGAUUUAUUGGGCGUAAAGCGCUCGCAGGUGGUCCGAUGCGUCGUGCGUGAAAGACCCCGGCUCAACUGGGGGGCGUCGUGCGAUACGGUCGGACUGGAGGCCAGUAGGGGGAUGCGGAAUUCCGGGUGUAGUGGUGGAAUGCGUAGAGAUCCGGAGGAACACCAGCGGCGAAGGCGGCAUCCUGGACCGGCAUUGACGCUGAGGCGCGAAAGCUAGGGGAGCAAACGGG
rnacentral:rRNA from 1 species